GAUUGAUCUUAAGCAUGGUCACUUAAGUAGGGUGCUUAGAUAAUACCUAGGCAUAGUUGGUUGGUAGACCCCACCAAAAGUGGUGAUAAGGGUUGACAUGGUCUAGAGUUGUCUUGAUCCAACUUUAGUGAAAAAGAGAAAGGUUUCUUGGUCAAAACUCCUCUAAGUUCCUCUAAGGUUUAACCAAGAAAGGAUGUCUACCCGUAAGUCUCAAAGAGUGAGUGGUAGUGGAUCUUAAGGGUUCCGGUAUGUGUUUUAUGUUUUAUUGAAUUGCGGAAAUUCCAU
rnacentral:lncRNA from 1 species